UAACAAAUUAACAAUGUUAAUUCUCUUGUACAUGUGGUGCAUGUGUUGUAAUUUUUGAGAGAUGGUUCUCAGUAAGAAGCAUACCAAGAAGAAAUGGAUAAUGCGAUCAAUGUUCGAAUGAAUGUGAGUUCAGUCUGAUCGGAAAGCUCAUCUGAAGAUACCUGGAACCCUGAGUGAGUAUAAAUGUGAUAAGUGGCUCUUUGAUUUCAAGGAGGGAUAACUUUAUUCCCCACAAAGCAUUUUGUGAGGCCUUAGCUUUAGCACCCACAAAGCAGGUGGACGGUUCAUUGGCUACCGCUACUAAGCCGAUUUAUUUCUAUAAAGCAUAAAUUGCAUCAUUUUUUAACUAUUAUAUAUUAUAAUGACAACGGUGAGUAUAACCGUAUGAUCAUGCCGAAAUCAGACACUGGCCUUUGAAAGUCGACGAUUAGCAUUACAAAAUAGCAGUUUAUCCCAAUUUUUGUAGUUGAUUCAGCCAACACUAACAUUUUCUUUACAAAAUUGUGUUUAAGAUUUGGGUAAACUUUGUCCUUUAUGGAGCCGAAUAUGUUGAAACCAGCAGACCCAGUUGCAAAGCCGUUGAAGCCAACCAAUGAUGAAAAAAAUGUCAACAACAUGAAACAAGGCCCCAUUCGAGGUCGAGGAGGACGAUCCACAAAGCGAAACGAGUUAAGGAGUAGUGCACAGUUGAUUAUUAUGAAACAUUCCGCACAAUUUCAGUAAUACUCUUUAU